GGGGAUAACGCUGGCGGCGUGCUUACACAUGCAAGUCGAACGAUGAAGCCCAGCUUGCUGGGUGGAUUAGUGGCGAACGGGUGAGUAACACGUGAGUAACCUGCCCUUGACUCUGGGAUAAGCCCGGGAAACUGGGUCUAAUACCGGAUAGGAACGUCCACCGCAUGGUGGUUGUUGGAAAGAUUUAUCGGUCAUGGAUGGACUCGCGGCCUAUCAGCUUGUUGGUGAGGUAAUGGCUCACCAAGGCGACGACGGGUAGCCGGCCUGAGAGGGUGACCGGCCACACUGGGACUGAGACACGGCCCAGACUCCUACGGGAGGCAGCAGUGGGGAAUAUUGCACAAUGGGCGAAAGCCUGAUGCAGCGACGCCGCGUGAGGGAUGACGGCCUUCGGGUUGUAAACCUCUUUCAGUAGGGAAGAAGCGAAAGUGACGGUACCUGCAGAAGAAGCACCGGCUAACUACGUGCCAGCCGCCGCGGUA
rnacentral:rRNA from 1 species